GUAUGUACUGCCCAUGUGUCAUCUAGACCUCAUAUAGUUAAAACAACGGCAGUUCAUCGCUUAGCUCUGGGCUUCGAACAGGACAGACAGUAAUGUUCCCAUCAGACUGAGUUUCUCGGGUGUAGACUGAGCUGCUGGCGGCGGGUAACAGCACAAGCACACACCUGCUUAAGUAACACUCACAGAGGACGGAUAUGACAGCAGUGAAGGAGGAGUGGCUCUCGGCUCCGGGCGCAUCUUCUCUCGAAUCACCGCACUGACAUUUACUCCACAAACUGGAAUAAAACCAUCAGCAGCGAGGACAACGACGGGCUAACAACACUCGCACUACGAAGUGUGAUGUGACAGAGAAGACAUCCUGUACGGUCAGACUACAGUGAGCUGGAGAUGAUGAUUGUGGGAUUUUGGAGGACUGGGCGAUACAGUCCCCUGCUGGUCUUUCUGCUCAACUCGCUGCUGCCUCUUAUACAGCCCAGUAAUGCUGGAAACCAGAAUAUACCACGACUCCAGCUCUCUCAUGCAGGCAUCUGAUAAACGGUGUACCCCAAGGCUGUAUCUUAGGUCCUAUUGCAUUUCAAGUAUUAAAGGAAUAGUUCACCCAAAAAUAAAAAUUCUGACAUAAUUUCUUCA
ensembl:lncRNA